AUGCGCAUUUGUUGUGAUCGAUACUGUUAAGAAACAGAGGCCUAAAGAUGACUUCUUUUCGGCUUGAAUCAACAACACACCAAGGUCUUAAGUGUAUAAGAGAUUGAGUGUUCUCAAAAUGCUUACUUUGAUGAGUAAAGAACCAAGUAGUCUGUUAAAACAGAGUUUAAGAACAGAGCACACAAGAACUUUGUUAACCCAGUUCACACCAACGGUGCUACGUCUGGGCCGGGAACUGUCUCCCGGAAUCCACUAUAUCAAUGAGUUUUACAAGAGAUCUCUCAUCCCAAAGCCCUUUACAAAGCUCUCUCGGUUAUCUCUCUUUCACUCAACUGUUUCCCCAAGAACUCUCAUACAAGUAGUUUAUGCUAUGAAUGAAGUUCUCUCUGUUUCUG
rnacentral:lncRNA from 1 species